rnacentral:misc_RNA from 1 species
CUGCUGGCACCUGAAGUGAACUGGAAAAAAGUAUGAUGACAUCAAACCAGAGUUUGUAAAAAGGACAUGGUUUAGAUCACAUGAAUAAUAAGAAUGGGCAUAUUGACAGCAAUAACUAAUCAAGAAUAGCAAUUGGAGUUCAGCACAUAUCCUUAUUACUAUUCAAUUCAACCAGCUACAUGCUUGAUGUAGGACCUCACAACGCACCUCGCUGAAACAUAAUUCCAAUCACACUAUUGGGGUACUAAAUCUCACCCACUGAAAUACCUGAAGAUCUUAUCAAAACCCAUUGAGCCCAGGCAAAGCCACCAAGCUCAAAUAGAACUAUCUUGGCCUCGCCUAAUUAAGGCCCACCACUAAGGUCAGUCAGGCUUGGGAUUAGGGUUCAUAUAAGUCAUGCCCAAUCAGCGCAAUUAACAAAAUAUUGGUAUUCUGUAUUUUUCUUAUCACAUUGGACUAGGCUUGGGCAAUGUUUGAAGUUGCCAACUUGACUUAAGGUUGGCCUCAAUUUGAACAGGCCCAAUAGGCCUACCAAGUUCGCUUUAAUACUGUUUGUAAAAGUUCAAUGGGGUGAAAGCAGACAAAGCAAGAAGUCCACCAUGAUUCAUGAUCCACUACCCAACUUCUCCCAAUUUCAAUAUCUCAGACCAAAUCACUAUUGAUAUAAGAACUUGAUCCAAGAUCUUUUUGAACAUGCAUCUAACAUGGUUAACAUACAUCAGCUAAUUGCUGAUUAUAAGGAAUGUCGAUUAUUGACUCCUAACUACUAUUUUUCUGGAGCAAGUGAAAAUGUUACUGGCUGAUUUCUAAAUCUUCAGGUCUUUUGACGUUGAUAAGCAAUUCGGUGUGCAUUACAUAUGCAAUUUGGAAGAUACAAAA